AAGUGGCGAACGGGUGAGUAACGCGUGGGCAAUCUGCCCUUCAGCGGGGGAUAACCUUCCGAAAGGAUGGCUAAUACCGCAUACGACGGAGAAGUCCUCGGACAUUUCCGGGAAAGCCGGCCUCUUCAUGAAAGCUGGCACUGAAGGAGGAACCCGCGUCCCAUCAGCUAGUUGGUAGGGUAAUGGCCUACCAAGGCUUAGACGGGUAGCUGGUCUGAGAGGAUGAUCAGCCACACUGGGACUGAGACACGGCCCAGACUCCUACGGGAGGCAGCAGUGGGGAAUAUUGGGCAAUGGGCGCAAGCCUGACCCAGCCACGCCGCGUGAGUGAUGAAGGCCUUCGGGUCGUAAAGCUCUGUGGGAGGGGAAGAAAGCCCCUUGGCUAAUAUCCAAGGGUUUGACGGUACCCUCUUAGCAAGCACCGGCUAACUCCGUGCCAGCAGCCGCGGUAAUACGGAGGGUGCAAACGUUGCUCGGAAUCAUUGGGCGUAAAGCGCACGUAGGCGGCACAGCAAGUUGGAUGUGAAAGCCCUCGGCUUAACCGAGGAAGUGCAUUCAAAACUACUGAGCUUGAGUACAAAAGAGGAUCGCGGAAUUCCCGGUGUAGAGGUGAAAUGCGUAGAGAUCGGGAGGAAGGCCGGUGGCGAAGGCGGCGCUCUGGAACGUUUC
rnacentral:rRNA from 1 species